UAAUUUAAGGUCUAACCUGCCCACUGAAUUUUUAAAUGGCCGUGGUAUUUUGACCGUGCUAAGGUAGCAUAAUCAUUAGUUUUUUAAUUAAAAACUGGAAUGAAAGGUUGAAUAAGAAAAUAACUGUCUCUAUUAAAUUUAAUUAGAAUUUUAUUUUUAAGUUAAAAAGCUUAAUUAAUAUUAAAAGACGAGAAGACCCUAUAGAGUUUAAUUAUUAAAUAAAAAUUAUAUUUUAGUAUUUAUAUAUUUAAUUUAUUAAAUAAUUUAAUUGGGGUGAUUGAAAAAUUUAUUAAACUUUUUUUAUUUUUUAACAUUUAUUUAUGAUUAAUUGAUCCAUUAUUUUUGAUUAUAAGAUAAAAUUACCUUAGGGAUAACAGCGUAAUUUUUUUAGAGAGUUCAUAUUAAAAAAAAAGAUUGCGACCUCGAUGUUGGAUUAAAAUAAAUUUUUGGUGUAGAAGCUAAAAUAUUAGGUCUGUUCGACCUUUAAAAUUUUA
rnacentral:rRNA from 1 species